GGGCGGCGGCGAGCGGGA
rnacentral:miRNA from 1 species